GAUGAAGAACGUAGCGAAAUGCGAUAAGUAAUGUGAAUUGCAGAAUUCACUGAAUCAUCGAAUCUUUGAACGCACAUUGCGCCCGCCAGUAUUCUGGCGGGCAUGCCUGUUCGAGCGUCAUUUCAACCAUCAAGCCCUGCUUGCGUUGGGGUCCUGCGGCUGCCCGCAGGCCCUGAAAACCAGUGGCGGGCUCGCUAGUCACACCGAGCGCAGUAAUACAUCUCGCUUUGGGCGUGCGGCGGGUUCUUGCCGUUAAACACCCCCUUUUUACCAAGGUUGACCUCGGAUCAGGUAGGAAUACCCGCUGAACUUAAGCAUAUCAAUAAGCGGAGGA
rnacentral:misc_RNA from 1 species